rnacentral:rRNA from 1 species
GUAGGGAAUAUUGCGCAAUGGGGGAAACCCUGACGCAGCGACGCCGCGUGAGUGAUGAAGGCCUUAGGGUCGUAAAGCUCUGUUGAAUGGGAAGAAAAAAAUGACGGUACCAUUCGAGGAAGGACCGGCUAACUUCGUGCCAGCAGCCGCGGUAAUACGAGGGGUCCUAGCGUUGUUCGGAAUCAUUGGGCGUAAAGGGUGUGUAGGUGGCCAUGUAAGUCAGGUGUGAAAGCCCCGGGCUCAACCCGGGAAGUGCACUUGAUACUGCGUGGCUUGAGUACCGAAGAGGGUAGUGGAAUUCCAGGUGUAGUGGUGAAAUACGUAGAUAUCUGGAGGAACACCGGUGGCGAAGGCGGCUACCUGGUCGAGUACUGACACUGAGACACGAAAGCAUGGGGAUCAAACAGGAUUAGAAACCCGUGUAGUCC